AGUAGUUUACUAUAAUUUCCUGAGACCGGCGCACGGGUGCGUAACACGUAUGCAACUUACCCUUUACUGGGGGCAUAGCUCAGAGAAAUCUGAAUUAAUUCCCCAUAACGAUAUUGAAUCGCAUGGUUCGAUAUCUAAAGCUCCGGACGGUAAAGGAUAGGCAUGCGGUGUAUUAGCUAGUUGGUGAGGUAAUGGCUCACCAAGGCUACGAUACAGUAGGGGUUCUGAGAGGAUGACUCCCCCACACUGGUACUGAGACACGGACCAGACUCC
rnacentral:rRNA from 1 species